rfam:Protomyces lactucaedebilis strain 12-1054 BCR37scaffold_26, whole genome shotgun sequence.
GUCGAUGUAGUAUAGUGGUUAGUACUUCCGCUUGUGGCGCGGACGACUCGUGUUCGAUUCACGACAUCGACA